rnacentral:rRNA from 1 species
AACGAACGCUGGCGGCAGGCCUAACACAUGCAAGUCGAACGAAGCCUUCGGGUUUAGUGGCGGACGGGUGAGUAACGCGUGGGAACGUGCCCCUUGGUACGGAAUAGCCCCGGGAAACUGGGAGUAAUACCGUAUGAGCUCUACGGAGGAAAGAUUUAUCGCCAAGGAAUCGGCCCGCGUUGGAUUAGGUAGUUGGUGGGGUAAUGGCCUACCAAGCCGACGAUCCAUAGCUGGUUUGAGAGGAUGAUCAGCCACACUGGGACUGAGACACGGCCCAGACUCCUACGGGAGGCAGCAGUGGGGAAUCUUAGACAAUGGGCGCAAGCCUGAUCUAGCCAUGCCGCGUGAGCGAUGAAGGCCUUAGGGUUGUAAAGCUCUUUCAGCUGGGAAGAUAAUGACUGUACCAGCAGAAGAAGCCCCGGCUAACUCCGUGCCAGCCGCCGCCGUAAUAC